rnacentral:rRNA from 1 species
GAUGAACGCUAGCGGCAGGCCUAACACAUGCAAGUCGAGGGGUAACUAGAGUGAUAGCAAUAUUACUUUGGCUAGACCGGCGCACGGGUGCGUAACACGUAUGCAACCUACCUUAUACUGGGGAAUAACUUCGAGAAAUCGGCGCUAAUACCCCAUAACAUUGCGAAGAGGCAUCUCUUUGCAAUUAAAGCUCCGGCGGUAUAAGAUGGGCAUGCGUCCAAUUAGCUAGUUGGUGAGGUAACGGCUCACCAAGGCUACGAUUGGUAGGGGUUUUGGGAGGAUGAUCCCCCACACUGGUACUGAGACACGGACCAGACUCCUACGGGAGGCAGCAGUGAGGAAUAUUGCGCAAUGGACGAAAGUCUGACGCAGCCAUGCCGCGUGCAGGAUGACGGCCCUAUGGGUUGUAAACUGCUUUUGUACGGGAAUAAACCCUUCUACGUGUAGGAGGCUGAAGGUACCGUAAGAAUAAGCACCGGCUAACUCCGUGCCAGCCGCCGCGGUAACAC